UACGUAGGGUGCAAGCGUUAAUCGGAAUUACUGGGCGUAAAGCGUGCGCAGGCGGUUUUGUAAGUUUGUCGUGAAAGCCCCGAGCUUAACUUGGGAAUUGCGGUUGAAACUGGCGGACUAGAAUCUGGCAGAGGGGGGUGGAAUUCCACGUGUAGCAGUGAAAUGCGUAGAGAUGUGGAGGAACACCGACGGCGAAGGCAGCCCCCUGGGCUGAGAUUGACGCUCAGGCACGAAAGCGUGGGGAGCAAACAGG
rnacentral:rRNA from 1 species